rnacentral:snoRNA from 1 species
CUCGAUGUUGUCAAUGAUGCAUUCUUGUUAGAACUGAAUUUAUGUGAUCUAACUCAGAUUCGUCACUACCACUGAGACAACAUUGAG